UACGUAGGGUGCAAGCGUUAAUCGGAAUUACUGGGCGUAAAGCGUGCGCAGGCGGUGAUGUAAGACAGAUGUGAAAUCCCCGGGCUCAACCUGGGAACUGCAUUUGUGACUGCAUCGCUGGAGUUCGGGAGAGGGGGGUGGAAUUCCGCGUGUAGCAGUGAAAUGCGUAGAUAUGCGGCGGAAUACCGAUGGCGAAGGCAAUUCCCUGGGCCUGUACUGACGCUCAUGCACGAAAGCGUGGGGAGCAAACAGG
rnacentral:rRNA from 1 species